rnacentral:lncRNA from 1 species
UCAACUCUUAUCUGAUUAAUACUACAAAUACUAGCAUGCAAGAAAGACAUGCAACAUAUAACCCGUUCCACCAUUAUAUCACGUAAAAGUUCACAAUUGCCGCAGCAGCAAAAACUGAGAUGAAAAACAACGCAGGAACCAGACAAAAAUGGCAGCAAAUAUAGCAGAAUUCAGUUUAACUUAUGAUAGACAGCCAUCUUUUUGGUGGGGAGUAACAUUACACCACAGGCUCAUAGGUUCAACACAUCACUUCCAAUACUACAUCUCCC